rnacentral:rRNA from 1 species
AUGGUAGACAAAACCCGCUACACCGAUGGCUCCGAAUUAACUUACAAGGAGAAAAAUCAUCUGGUCGGAUUUUGUACUAACAUUGAGAAUUACAAUAUCUACAAUCAAACUCCUCAACAUUAUGGUCAAUACAUGCCACUAGUGCAUGUGUUGAACUACGGUAACUACCAUGAAGAUACCCUGGUAAGAUUUUUUACUAUUAUGACAUCCGUGCAUCUUUUGCAUACUUUUAAAACUAGUACAUCAUUGCUAACUAUAAAGUUAUUAAUAUGUUUUUCAACAGAUAAUCCCAGAGAGUUGUGUGCCUCAUUUGAUGUAUCAGAAAGGUAG